rnacentral:rRNA from 1 species
UACGGAGGGUGCAAGCGUUACUCGGAAUCACUGGGCGUAAAGGAUGCGUAGGCGGAUAAUCAAGUCAAAAGUGAAAUCCUACAGCUCAACUGUAGAACUGCUU